AGAUUAAGUUAUUAAGGGCGCACGGUGGAUGCCUUGGCACUAGAAGCCGAUGAAGGACGUUACUAACGAC
rnacentral:rRNA from 8 species